CAACAAAAAAUAAUUACCAACAUCAAGGAGAGAACAACCAGCAAUUCCAGUUCAAUGCUGGUGAUCAACUGCAUGGAAGCACAAGCAAUACAGCUACAAUUUCUCCAGAACAUUUUCAACCACAUGUUGACUUAUAUCCUGACUUCCAAGAAGCAGCUGAGGCAUAUAAAGCAGCAGAACAUCUACAAGGAAAUAUUGAGGAAGAACCAGUAAUUGAUGAAGUGGCUGAGGCACAACAAGCAGAAGGUGAAGUUCCACAGUCGCCAAUUCACGGUGUGACUGUGACUGAAGUUGUUCCUGAAGGCAUUGAUAAAAAAGUUGUUCCUGAAGGCAUUGAAAACAAAGGUUUGACAUUGGAUGACUUUGAGCUGCCAGAAAACUUAUCACAGUUGGUCAUGUAUGGCGAGC